rnacentral:piRNA from 1 species
UAGGGAAAACAGCUCACAGAGCUGGGUGCUU